rnacentral:misc_RNA from 1 species
GAUGAAGAACGUAGCGAAAUGCGAUAAGUAAUGUGAAUUGCAGAAUUCAGUGAAUCAUCGAAUCUUUGAACGCACAUUGCGCCCGCCAGUAUUCUGGCGGGCAUGCCUGUUCGAGCGUCAUUACAACCCUCAGGCCCCCGGGCCUGGCGUUGGGGAUCGGCGGAGCCCCCCGUGGGCACACGCCGUCCCCCAAAUGCAGUGGCGGUCCCGCCGCAGCUUCCAUCGCGUAGUAGCUAACACCUCGCGACUGGAGAGCGGCGCGGCCACGCCGUAAAACACCCAACUCUUCUGAAGUUGACCUCGAAUCAGGUAGGAAUACCCCCUGAACUUAAGCAUAUCAAUAAGCGGAGGA